rnacentral:rRNA from 1 species
AAUCAACGCUGGCGGCGUGCCUCAGACAUGCAAGUCGAACGAUUAAAGCUCUCUUCGGAGAGUGCAUAGAGUGGCGCACGGGUGAGUAACACGUAAGUAAUCUACCCUCGAGUGGGGAAUAACGUCCGGAAACGGGCGCUAAUACCGCAUAAUGCAGCGGCAUCAUAAGAUGACAGUUGUUAAAGAUUUAUCGCUUGAGGAGGAGCUUGCGGCAGAUUAGCUAGUUGGUAAGGUAACGGCUUACCAAGGCUACGAUCUGUAACCGGUCUUAGAGGACGGUCGGUCACACUGACACUGAAUAACGGGUCAGACUCCUACGGGAGGCAGCAGUCGGGAAUGUUGGGCAAUGGGCGAAAGCCUGACCCAGCAACGCCGCGUGAAGGAUGAAGUAUUUCGGUAUGUAAACUUCGAAAGAAUAGGAAGAAUUAAUGACGGUACUAUUUAUAAGGUCCGGCUAACUACGUGCCAGCCGCCGCAGUAAAAC